UGUGAGAAGAUGCAAGAAUGUGGGCUCACUGAAAUCAUUCCUUUCAUGUGCAUCUCAGCUAUCUGGGACCAGUGUUUCUUCAGUGCUCAGCUCAAGGAGCUGUCCAGAUAGCAGGUACUGGACUUCCUGGGUUGCCUUGGGGCUCAGAAAUUUGCAUUUGGCGGACCAGAAUUGCUGAUGAUUAUGACAUCCUUGUUUACUGAUAUGGCAGGAAAUACUCUUAAUUCUCAGUGAUAUAAAGAAAGCUGAGUACCAGAGAAUUGAUGCUUUCAAAUUGUGGUGCUGGAGAAAACUCUUGAGAGUCCCUUGGACAGCAAAGAAAUCAAACCAGUCAAUCCUAAAGGAAAUCAGUCGUGAAUAUUCAUUGGGAGGAUUGAUGCUGAAGCUGAAACUGCAAUCCUUUGGCCACCUGAUGUGAAGAACUGAGUCAUUGGAAAAGACCCUGAUGCUGGGAAAGAUUGAGGGCAGGAGAAGGGGAUGACAGAGGAUGGAUGACAUCACCAACUCAAUGAACAUGAGUUUGAGCAAGCUCUGGGAGUUGGUGAUGGACAGGGAAGACUGGCACGCUGCAGUCCAUGAGGUUGCAAAGAGUUGGACAUGACCGAGUGACUGAACAACAACAAAAUGACAAGCUCAGUUGGUGAAGAAUCCACCUGCAACACAGAAGACUCUGGUUCGAUCCCUGGGUUGGGAAGACCCCCUGGAGAAGGGGAAGGCUACCGACUCCAGUAUUCUGGCCUGGAGAAUUCCAUGGACUGUAUACUCCAUGGGGUCACAGAGUUGGACAGGACUGGGUGACUUUCACUUUCACUUAUCUUUGCUGACAUUUCUUCAUGGAAGAUUGUUCCCUCUUGAGCUUUGUAUUUUGGAAAAUGAGUUCAUUUUAAGUGGGGCUUUACAAUCUACAGAUUCAAUGCAAUCCCUAUCAAGCUAUCAACGGUAUUUUUCAUAGAGCUAGAACAAAUAAUUUCACAAUUUGUAUGGAAAUACAAAAAACCAUGAAUAGCCAAAGCAAUCUUGAGAAAGAAGAAUGGAACUGGAGGAAUCAACCUGCCUGACUUCAGGCUCUACUACAAAGCCACAGUCAUCAAGACAGUAUGGUACUGGCACAAAGAC
ensembl:lncRNA